UAAGAACGCCAUACCGCCCUGAAUGCGCCAGCUCUCAUCUGAUCUCACAAGAUAAGCCACGUUGGGCCUGGUUAGUACUUGGAUGGGAGAAUGCUUUUUUUGUUAAUGAGAAUCUUUUAGGAUGCAUUAG
rnacentral:rRNA from 1 species